rnacentral:rRNA from 1 species
GACGUAGGAGGCGAGCGUUGUCCGGAUUCAUUGGGCGUAAAGAGCGCGCAGGCGGCUUGGUAAGUCGGAUGUGAAAACCCGAGGCUCAACCUCGGGCGUGCAUCCGAAACUGCUCGGCUAGAGGUAGGUAGGGGAGAUCGGAAUUCCUGGUGUAGCGGUGAAAUGCGUAGAUAUCAGGAGGAACACCGGUGGCGAAGGCGGCUACCUGGACAGAAACUGACGCUGAGGCGCGAAAGCUAGGGGAGCAAACAGG